rnacentral:rRNA from 1 species
UACGUAUGGAGCAAGCGUUAUCCGGAUUUACUGGGUGUAGAGGGAGCGUAGGCGGCUCUGUAAGUCUGAUGUGAAAAUUUGGGGCUCAACCCCAAACGUGCAUUGGAAACUGCAGGGCUUGAGUGCCGGAGAGGCAGGCGGAAUUCCUAGUGUAGCGGUGAAAUGCGUAGAUAUUAGGAGGAACACCAGUGGCGAAGGCGGCCUGCUGGACGGUAACUGACGCUGAGGCUCGAAAGCGUGGGGAGCAAACAGG